UGAGUAUAAUACUCGAUAGGUCUCGAUUGCUGGAAUGCAUGGAGAACACAGCUCCGGCGCCUAAGGAUGGGUCUGCGGCCUAUCAGGAAGUAGUGGGUGUAGCGUACCUACUAGCCUACGACGGGUACGGGUUGUGAGAGCAAGAGCCCGGACAUGGAUUCUGAGACACGAAUCCAGGCCCUACGGGGUGCAGCAGGCGCGAAAACUUUACAAUGCUGGCAACAGCGAUAAGGGAACCUCGAGUGCCAGGUUACAAAUCUGGCUGUCGAGAUGCCUAAAAAGCAUUUCAUAGCAAGGGCCGGGCAAGACCGGGGCCAGCCGCCGCGGUAACACCGGCGGCUCGAGUGGUAACCGUUAUUAUUGGGUCUAAAGGGUCUGUAGCCGGCCGGAUAAGUCUCUUGAGAAAUCUGGCAGCUUAACUGUCAGGCUUUCAGGAGAUACUGUCUGGCUCGAGGCCGGGAGAGGUGAGAGGUACUUCAGGGGUAGGGGUGAAAUCUUGUAAUCCUUGAAGGACCACCAGUGGCGAAGGCGUCUCACCAGAACGGACCUGACGGCAAGGGACGAAAGCUAGGGGCACGAACCGGAUUAGAUACCCGGGUAGUCCUAGCCGUAAACGAUACUCGCUAGGUGUCGGCCACGGUGCGACCGUUGUCGGUGCCGUAAGGAAGCCGUGAAGCGAGCCACCUGGCAAGUACGGCCGCGAGGCUGAAACUUAAAGGAAUUGGCGGGGG
rnacentral:rRNA from 1 species